UUCCUGGUGGUCCAGUGGUUAGGAUUCUGCACUUUCAAUGCUGUCACCUGGGUGCAAUCCCCUGUCUGGGAA
rfam:Sus scrofa genome assembly, chromosome: Y